rnacentral:rRNA from 1 species
UACAGGGGAUGCAAGUGUUAUCCGGAAUUAUUGGGCGUAAAGCGUCUGUAGGUUGAUAAUUAAGUCUUUUGUUAAAUCUUCAGGCUUAACCUGAAAUCUGCAAAAGAAACUAUUUAUCUUGAGUAUGGUAGAGGUAAAGGGAAUUUCCAGUGGAGCGGUGAAAUGCGUAGAGAUUGGAAAGAACACCAACAGCGAAGGCACUUUACUGGGCCAUUACUGACACUGAGAGACGAAAGCUAGGGGAGCAAACGGG